rnacentral:rRNA from 1 species
GACGAACGCUGGCGGCGUGCCUAAUACAUGCAAGUUGAGCGAUGAAGAUUGGUGCUUGCACCAAUUUGAAGAGCAGCGAACGGGUGAGUAACGCGUGGGGAAUCUGCCUUUGAGCGGGGGACAACAUUUGGAAACGAAUGCUAAUACCGCAUAACAACUUUAAACAUAAGUUUUAAGUUUGAAAGAUGCAAUUGCAUCACUCAAAGAUGAUCCCGCGUUGUAUUAGCUAGUUGGUGAGGUAAAGGCUCACCAAGGCGAUGAUACAUAGCCGACCUGAGAGGGGGAUCGGCCACAUUGGGACUGAGACACGGCCCAAACUCCUACGGGAGGCAGCAGUAGGGAAUCUUCGGCAAUGGACGAAAGUCUGACCGAGCAACGCCGCGUGAGUGAAGAAGGUUUUCGGAUCGUAAAACUCUGUUGGUAGGGAAGAACGUUGGUGAGAGUGGAAAGCUCAUCAAGUGACGGUAACUACCCAGAAAAGGACGGCUAACUACGUG